rnacentral:rRNA from 1 species
GAAUCUAGCUUCAGGUCUGGGACAACCACUGGAAACGGUGGCUAAUACCGGAUGUGCCGGAAGGUGAAAGGCUUGCUGCCUGAAGAUGAGCUCGCGUCUGAUUAGCUAGUUGGUGGGGUAAAAGCCUACCAAGGCGACGAUCAGUAGCUGGUCUGAGAGGAUGACCAGCCACACUGGGACUGAGACACGGCCCAGACUCCUACGGGAGGCAGCAGUGGGGAAUUUUCCGCAAUGGGCGAAAGCCUGACGGAGCAAUACCGCGUGAGGGAGGAAGGCUCUUGGGUUGUAAACCUCUUUUCUCAGGGAAGAACACAAUGACGGUACCUGAGGAAUCAGCAUCGGCUAACUCCGUGCCAGCAGCCGCGGUAAUACGGAGGAUGCAAGCGUUAUCCGGAAUGAUUGGGCGUAAAGCAUCCGCAGGUGGCUGUGUAAGUCUGCUGUCAAAGAGCGAAGCUCAACUUCGUAAAGGCAGUGGAAACUACACGGCUAGAGUGCGUUCGGGGCAGAGGGAAUUCCUGGUGUAGCGGUGAAAUGCGUAGAGAUCAGGAAGAACACCGGUGGCGAAGGCGCUCUGCUAGGCCGCAACUGACACUGAGGGACGAAAGCUAGGGGAAUCA